rnacentral:rRNA from 1 species
GACGAACGCUGGCGGCGUGCCUAAUACAUGUAAGUAGAACGCACAGUUUAUACCGUAGCUUGCUACACCAUAGACUGUGAGUUGCGAACGGGUGAGUAACGCGUAGGUAACCUGCCUGGUAGCGGGGGAUAACUAUUGGAAACGAUAGCUAAUACCGCAUAAUAUUAAUUAUUGCAUGAUAAUUAAUUGAAAGGUGCAAUUGCACCACUACCAGAUGGACCUGCGUUGUAUUAGCUAGUAGGUGAGGUAACGGCUCACCUAGGCGACGAUACAUAGCCGACCUGAGAGGGUGAUCGGCCACACUGGGACUGGGACACGGCCCAGACUCCUACGGGAGGCAGCAGUAGGGAAUCUUCGGCAAUGGACGAAAGUCUGACCGAGCAACGCCGCGUGAGUGCAGAAGGUUUUCGGAUCGUAAAGCUCUGGUGUAAGAGAAGAACGGGUGUGAGAGUGGAAAGUUCACACUGUGACGGUAUCUUACCAGAAAGGGACGGCUAACUACGUG